UACGUAGGGUGCAAGCGUUAAUCGGAAUUACUGGGCGUAAAGCGUGCGCAGGCGGUGAUGUAAGACAGGUGUGAAAUCCCCGGGCUUAACCUGGGAACUGCAUUUGUGACUGCAUCGCUGGAGUGCGGCAGAGGGGGGUGGAAUUCCACGUGUAGCAGUGAAAUGCGUAGAGAUGUGGAGGAACACCGAUGGCGAAGGCAGCCCCCUGGGUUAACACUGACGCUCAGGCACGAAAGCGUGGGGAGCAAACAGG
rnacentral:rRNA from 1 species